rnacentral:rRNA from 1 species
GACGAACGCUGGCGGCGUGCCUAAUACAUGCAAGUAGAACGCUGAAGGAUGAGAUUGCUACUCUCGGUGUGUUCAGCACACGUGAGUGUCGCGUAGGUAACCUGCCUGUUUGCGGGGGAUAACACUUGGAAACGAUAGUUAUUAUAGCACAUAAGAAGUUUUUACACAACAUUUACUUAUAAGGUGUGCUAUUGUAACUAUCAGAUGGACUUGCGUUGUAUGUGCUAGUUGGUGUGGUAAAGGCUCACCAAGGCGAGGAUACAUAGCCGACCUGAGAGGGUGAUCGGCCACACUGGGACUGGGAAACGGCCCAAACUCCUACGGGAGGCAGCAGUAGGGAAUCUUCGGCAAUGGACGGAAGUCUGACCGAGCAACGCCGCGUGAGUGAAGAAGGUUUUCGGAUCGUAAAACUCUGUUGGUAGAGAAGAACGAGGGUGAGAGUGGAAAGUUCACACUGUGACGGUAACUAACCAGAAAGGGACGGCUAACUACGUG